rnacentral:rRNA from 1 species
GAUGAACGCUGGCGGCGUGCCUAAUACAUGCAAGUCGAGCGAACGGACGAGAAGCUUGCUUCUCUGAUGUUAGCGGCGGACGGGUGAGUAACACGUGGAUAACCUACCUAUAAGACUGGGAUAACUUCGGGAAACCGUAGCUAAUACCGGAUAAUAUUUUGAACCGCAUGGUUCAAAAGUGAAAGACGGUCUUGCUGUCACUUAUAGAUGGAUCCGCGCUGCAUUAGCUAGUUGGUAAGGUAACGGCUUACCAAGGCAACGAUGCAUAGCCGACCUGAGAGAGUGAUCGGCCACACUGGAGCUGAGACGCGGUCCAGACUCCUGCGGGAGGCAGCAGUAGGGAAUCUUCCGCAAUGGGCGAGAGCCUGACGGAGCAACGCCGCGUGAGUGAUGAAGGUCUUCGGAUCGUAAAACUCUGUUAUUAGGGAAGAACAUAUGUGUAAGUAACUGUGCACAUCUUGACGGUACCUAAUCAGAAAGCCACGGCUAACUACGUG